rnacentral:rRNA from 1 species
AUGUUUCAUGGGGCUUUUUACUUUAAGCAUAAGGAAUUUCAAACACUAACCAUAUUUCCGGAUUUCGGCAGUAGUCCAGUCCACUUAGGAAUUGCAUUAGCAUGCUCAACAUAUGCUGCAUUUGUACCAGUGCCCAAUAUUAUGGCAGCAACCACAUCAUUAUCCAUAUAUCUCCCACCAGCCAAUGUGCCGACUGUGUCAUUAACCUACAAAACAUCAACAGUCAGCCUGAGAAUACAAGUUUUUGGACACACGGCCAUGUUUGUUCGCAUUCCAUUAAGAGAGAAAAUAUUAACAAAUAACCGAAGUAGCAUCAGAAUACACAGAAAUUAG